rnacentral:rRNA from 1 species
UUUAAAUGUAAAUURUAAGGCUUGAGUAGUAAUAGUUAUGGUCUUGAAACUUAAAGAAUUUGGCGGUAUUUUAGUCUUUUUAGAGGAAUCUGUUCCGUAAUCGAUAGUCCGCGUUGGAACUUACUUAGUUGGUAAAGUAUGUAUAUCGCCGUUUAUUGAAGAUUUUUUUAGAAGAUAUUUUCUGAUUAUAUUACUUUAUAAAAUUUCAGGUCAAGGUGCAGCUUGURAUUAAGGGGAAAUGGAUUACAAUAUUUUAAAGUAAAAUGGAUUARUAAAUUGAAAYAUUUAUAUGAAGGUGGAUUUAAUAGUAAUUUUUWAAAGAUUAUAUAAAUGAUUUUGGCUCUAAAAUGUGY